rnacentral:rRNA from 1 species
GACGAACGCUGGCGGCGUGCUUAACACAUGCAAGUCGAACGGAAAGUCCCUGCUUUUGUGCGGUGCUCGGGUUGCGAACGGGUGAGUAACACUUCUGUACCCUGCCCUUGUCUUUGAGAUAACGUCAUGACACUUAGGCUAAUACCGGAUAGGAGCUCCUGCUGCAUGAUGAGGGUUGGAAAGUUUCGGCGGUUGGGGAUGGACUCGCGGCUUAUCAGCUUGUUGGUGGGGUAGUGGCUUACCAAGGCUUUGCCGGGUAGCCGGGCUGAUCGGGUGACAGGACACACUAGGACUGGGAUACGGCCCAGACUCCUACGGGAGGCAGCAGUGGGGAAGAUUACACAAGGGGCGGAAGCCUGAUGUAGCCACGCCGCGUGCGGGAUGAGGGCCAUCGGGUUGUAAAGCGAUUUCGCCUGUGAUGAAGAGUGAGUGACGGUAAUGGGUAAAGAAGCACCGGCUAACUACGUG